rnacentral:rRNA from 1 species
AUUGAACGCUGGCGGCAGGCCUAACACAUGCAAGUCGAGCGAGCGGCGGACGGGUAAGUAAUGUAUGGGGACUGCCCGAUAGAGGGGGAUAAAUACUGGAAACGGUGGCUAAUAACGCAUACUAUCGGAUAACCCAUAUGGGAUUAGCUAGUAGGUGGGGUAAAGGCUCACCUAGGCGACGAACCCUCGCUGGUCUGAGAGGAUGAUCAGCCCCCAUUGGACUGAGACACGGCCCAGACUCCUACGGAGGCAGCAGUGGGUAAUAUUGCACACUGGGCGCAAGCCUGAUGCAGCCAUGCCGCGUGUAUGAAGAAGGCCUUAGGGUGGUAAAGUACUUUCAGCGGGGAGGCGUUACCCGCAGAAGAAGCACCGGCUAACUCCGUGCCAGCCGCCGCGGUAAUAC